AACAGUCUUUUACAUUUCACUGCACAUCUGUAUGAGCAUGUGACAAAUAAAAAUCUUGAAUCUUGAAUCUUGAAAAGGUUCCUCGAGGAUCCUGAAAUAAUAAUGAAUGACUAACUAAAGUUUUAUUCACAUUUAUUUUGUUUCUAUCUUUCUUUAUGCUUUUUCAAAAGUUUGGCCCUUUGCCUUUAUUAGAUAGGACAGCUGAAGACUGACAGGAAAUGUGGGGAAGAGUGACUGGGGGAUGACACGCAGCAAACAGUUGCCGUCUGGGCGUCGAACCAGCAACCAGUGGAACGAGGACUGUAGCCUCUGUACAUGGGACGCCUGCUUUACCAAUAGAGCUGCACCCCAAAGCUUGCUUUUGAAGCAUUUCAUAAAACUAUUAUUUGCUCUUAACCAGCAAAGGAAACUUGAUCUCUGAGAAAUCACAUUUGAAGUAUUUCCUAACAACAAGAAACCUUUAAGAUUUUUAAAGGAAUUUGAAACUAAGGGUGUGACAGCAAAGAUCACUAUCAACGUUUUUUAUAGAAAUUAGCAGGAUCUAUAAACAGUGUAGGAUUUUUACGACAUUCUAGGCUUGUGCAGCAACAUGGCCACAAAUAUCAAAGAGGAAAUUGAUGACAAGAGUGGAAAUUCUAAGAUAGAAAUAGACACACGGGCCAAGUACUGUAUCAAAACAACAAAAUGUACGAUUUACGCAACAGUAUCAUGAAGGCCUGCUCUUGAACGUUCACUGGCAGGAGCGCAACAUGCUGUAAAUCAUGUUCUCUAAACCAUCUCUUGGACUUGCUGCCAGUGAUACGUGGCUAAAACUCUCAGGAUCAGUGACUGGAUCGAGAUCAAAGGCUUUGAACUGGAAUCAAGUCUCAUGUCAUUUUUAGCCUCGAAUGCUAACUGCUGUUUUUCUCCUCUGGGACUGAAGGUAGAGAUGGGAUGUUGAUUGUGUUGCAGAGACACUCCCACUCGUUCCUGUUUGUUUCAUCCCCCACUUUUUCUCUCUUUUCCUUCCUCCUCUAUUGCCUCCUCCUGCUCCUCCUCCAGCACGAGCAGCAGGAUAACAAACCGCCUGCCUCGUGUUUGGAUAAGUUAAUGCUGAGAUGUCAGCCUCCAUUCUGAUGUAUACCACCUGCCUUGGCCUCCAGCUGACCUCGUACUCCAGCUCCCACAGCAGAGACAUUCCUGUGCUUUUCUGGGGCUGUGUUUACACUGCUGCUCUCCCUAUCUGCCUCAUCACAGCGGACAGUGCAGGGCCUCUAAUCCAGACUCUUCCUAAUAAGCUUGUGUUGUUCUGCAGGAGCAUGUAAUGUUUGCUGGCAAAAGCCUGAGACAUCACUCAGUGGAAGAUUUUUAAUUCAAGGAUAUAUGAAGUUUAGGACACCAGUGUUAAACUGGGAAACUGGAUAGAAGUGGGGGAUUCAGUGAACCGGACAUCUCACCCUCAGGAGGGGAGGCCUGCGAACGGCUCAAGUCAUUCAGAUGCCAAGAUCCUCCCACUCAACACUGUAAGGGCUCAUGUGAACACCAUGACCUCACCGCGGCUGCCCUUUCAAAGAAUUAGCCCUGUUGAUUUACAAGUUUAAGAUCCUAAGCAAAGGAUUGACGUCAAAUAAAAAAAAAAGUUUUAUUUCGGGAGGCUGGCCAACUCUUUUAUCUUGGAUGUGACUCAAAUAACUCAAUUUCUAAUGGGGCACGCCACUUACACAGUCUGCAAAUAGAAACUUGGCAAGGAAAAAGUGCUUUUCUUCUACUGUAAGUUAGUUAUAUAAAGGGAGACAUGUUAUUCUGCCACCAGCAUUCAGGCUCAGUUAAUCAUGCGGUUGCUGUGAAACUGGUUUGGUUUAGGGGGAGUUGUGCAUGAUGUUUAGGAAAUACAAAUAGACAUUUCAUUUUGAAGUACGUUAAUAUGGAAUAAGAUUUGUCCAUAGGAAGUGAAAGUUUGAAAAAAUCUGUAACUACAAACCAACAUUAAAAGAUAGAAUGACAGUGUUAAUCUCUUCAAUACAAGUCUAAAUAAGAAAGAAAAACAGUAUGACAACAUUUGGAAACAAUCAAUCUAAUGAACCAAUUAUGUAACAGAGGCCUCUAGUGCCCGCUGAGAAAAACAAGAGAGAGCCAUGAGUUCAUCUGUACUUUUAGUUUAAAAAUCUGUGAGAACAGAUUCAUAAUCUUUGCCUGCUGAUUUGCAAUCUGUGGGCACGGUUUCAAAAACUGUGGGAACAAAUUUUGUAAACUAUGGCCACUAUUAAAAAAACAUGAUUCAUUUUUUUCAGAGAACAAAGAAUGGACCUUUAUCUCGAGGGCUACAUCCACCAGAUUGCAAAAUCAGCGAGCAUGGACACUCUGUGUGUAAGGAGGAGAGCACGGAUGAUGGGAUGACUACAGAGGGGGCGACAUUAAUGAUCAAUUAAACUUAAGAAUUUACAAUAAACAGUGGUUGUAUGUAUAAGAUAGUAUGAGAUGAUAGGAUGAAUAAAUAAACAUGACUGGAUGUAUGGAAGUUGUAAUAUGGCAUAAUGAAAGUUUGAAUACAUGGAAUUAAAAAAAAUUAUAUAUGGAAAAGAAAUGAAUCAAACUUGAAUAUAUAGAAUGUCAGAAUAUAAACAUUUUGACUGUAAAUCCAAAUAUUCAAUUCAACAUUCAAUAUAACUAUAUUACUAUGAGGCUAUUACGUCAAAGCUUUCUGAACUUGUAAUUCCGUUAUCACUCAUAAUAUAACAGGGGACAUGUCUGGUUAUAGGUCAUUAGUGAUACAUUAUACUGCUUGAAAUGUUGCCAGUAAAUAUUGAGUGUCACAUAUUGAUUAAUAGGAAAAACUAAACUCAGCAUUGUUUUAGGGAAUGUUUUUGCUUUAACAAACUGAGUCUGAGUUAAAAAAAAAAAAAAAUUAAGAUAACAUGUUUACAUUUAUUUAAAUCUGAUCACUUACAUUUUAAGCCAUCAGCCAAAAAGACUGAGAUCCUAAACCUCUGCUGACCGACACACUUAGGGUUGAAUCAGCCUCCUCUGGAUAUUCUGUCACUAAGUUAGAUUGGUUUAGUUAUUUGUGCGAUACAAGUGAGGUUGACACUGGACCAUGAAAACUAAAAAAUCCUGAUGUGUCGCCACAUUUUACCAACACUACCUAACAGAGCUUGUGUCACUGCAGUAAGUGCACUACAGCAUGAACAGCAGCUGGUUUGUGUCCAGUUGUGACCACCUACUUUGUGUCUCACUUAAGUACCUGUUAGUGAUCGCACAUAACAGACACUUCUGUCACAUUGACCACUUGCUCUUUAACAAAACUCAGCUGAUAUUUUAAAUCCCCAUCUCCAAUGCUGCUGUUGGAAUAUGCAAAAUGUUGAUCAUCUUAAUCAUUACCCAUGACAUAACGUACUUGCUACUUGCAUGUAAAACGUCUUAAUGUGGACAAAAAUAGUUUUACUUAAAUGUCAAAAUAUGAAGAUAUGUUGUGUCAUUGUCUUAACCUUAAGUCCGCCUGAGUGAGUCUCUACUGAGCAGCUACUGUUCGGUGUUUCUUGGUCAUUGAUUGGAUCCAAUUUAAGUACUGAAACCAAAAUACAUAUCAUUUAAUUUAUAUAGUUUGUGGUUCUAGUAGUGCACAAUUUCCAAACCUUGACAAGAAAACUGAACAAGCACAUUUUCUUUCCAUAUAGAGCAGAACAUCAUCCUGAAGAGAAACAUCACCAGUUAACAGCAUCACCACCUAGUGGUCAAUAGAAGACAUUACACCUAAAAUGGAGAUGCAGACUGGUGAUGCAAACUGUAAUUGUUAGUAUGUAAAUUGUAUGUAUGCUUGCUUGUGUAUUACUUUGCAUUUGUGUCAGGACCUCCUUGAAGACGAGAUGAUGCAUCUGAAGGGUUAAUGCAUUCAAAUUCAAACUGAGCCUGUCACUUGUACAAUCUCUGGCCUGGCAGCACAAGAAGCCAUUUAUGAACAGCAUGGCUCAA